rnacentral:rRNA from 1 species
UGGGGAAUAUUGGACAAUGGGGGCAACCCUGAUCCAGCCAUGCCGCGUGAGUGAUGAAGGCCUUCGGGUUGUAAAGCUCUUUUAGCGGGGACGAUGAUGACGGUACCCGCAGAAUAAGCCCCGGCUAACUUCGUGCCAGCAGCCGCGGUAAGACGAAGGGGGCUAGCGUUGCUCGGAAUUACUGGGCGUAAAGCGCGUGUAGGCGGCUGUUCAAGUUGGGCGUGAAAGCCUUGGGCUUAACCCAAGAAAUGCGCUCAAUACUGGAUAGCUAGAGGACCGGAGAGGAUAGUGGAAUUCCCAGUGUAGUGGUGAAAUACGUAGAGAUUGGGAAGAACACCAGUGGCGAAGGCGGCUAUCUGGACGGUUUCUGACGCUAAGACGCGAAAGCGUGGGGAGCAAACAG